GAAGACUGCACAAAUGGAAGGAUGGGUGGGUGGGAGUAAGGAGGCAAGACGUGCGGAUGGACGGACGGACGGAUGGAUGGACGGAAUGAGGAUGUGGUCAAGUUUUUGGGUUCCUGCCACUGGCUCCCUCUGAGCAGUGCUUGCCCUGUUCACUGGCCUGCAGGACAUUGUCACAGAGCAGAUGAGGAAGUCACUAUGGUGACAAAGAAGGAAGGAAGGAAGGAAAGAAAGAAAGAACGAACGAAAGAAUGAAAGAAAGAAAGAAAGAAAGAAAGAAAGAAAGAAAGAAAGAAAGAAAGAAAGAAAAAGAAAAUCCCUGUAUUAAGAUCAGAGACAGUCAAUUUCCUAAGGGGCAGCCUGGGGGACCCUCUGUGUGGCUCUUUCCUCUGUGCGUAAACACACAUGACUGGCCAGUCCAUGCCUCCAGCCGCAGAUGCUCAGCCCUUUGUGGGCCUCACGCCAGCUGUGGUUUUGAACACUGUUGUUCCCCGGAGUUAAGGAUCUGCGGUUUCUAAUUGCUCUUCAGGCGCUCCCACAGGUGUUCCCAGUUCAAUCAGACACAGAAAUAUGUAUCCACU